UACGUAGGGGGCAAGCGUUGUCCGGAAUCAUUGGGCGUAAAGCGCGUGUAGGCGGCUCGAUAAGUCUGCUGUGAAAGUCCAGGGCUCAACCCUGGGAUGCCGGUGGAUACUGUCGAGCUCGAGUCCGGAAGAGGAGUGUGGAAUUCCUGGUGUAGCGGUGGAAUGCGCAGAUAUCAGGAGGAACACCGAUGGCGAAGGCAGAUCUCUGGGCCAUUACUGACGCUGAGGAGCGAAAGCAUGGGGAGCGAACAGG
rnacentral:rRNA from 1 species